GACGAACGCUGGCGGCGUGCCUAAUACAUGCAAGUAGAACGCUGAAGAGAGGAGCUUGCUCUUCUUGGAUGAGUUGCGAACGGGUGAGUAACGCGUAGGUAACCUGCCUGGUAGCGGGGGAUAACUAUUGGAAACGAUAGCUAAUACCGCAUAAAAUUGAUUAUUGCAUGAUAAUUAAUUGAAAGAUGCAACUGCAUCACUACCAGAUGGACCUGCGUUGUAUUAGCUAGUUGGUGAGGUAACGGCUCACCAAGGCGACGAUACAUAGCCGACCUGAGAGGGUGAUCGGCCACACUGGGACUGAGACACGGCACAGACGCCUACGGGAGGCAGCAGUAGGGAAACUUCGGCAAUGGGGGGAACACUGACCGGGCAACGCCGCGUGAGUGAAGAAGGUUUUCGGAUCGUAAAGCUCUGUUGUAAGAGAAGAACGGGUGUGAGAGUGGAAAGUUCACACUGUGACGGUAUCUUACCAGAAAGGGACGGCUAACUACGUG
rnacentral:rRNA from 1 species